CGUCAACCGCUGUGCCGGUGGGCGCGGUAUUACGUAGUGUGGUAACUGUGCUCGGAAUUGCUUGGCGUAAAGGGCGUGGGGGUGGAGACAUUAGUCGGUCUGGAAAUCCCCAGGCUCAACCUGGGAACUGCGCUCGAAACUGUGGGUCUCGAGUGUCGGAGAGGAUGGCGGAAUUCCUGGUGUAUAGGUGAAAUUCGUAGAUAUCAGGAGGAACACCGGUGGCGAAGGCGGCCAUCUGGACGACAACUGACGCUGAGACGCGAAAGCGUGGGGAGCAAACAGGAUUAGAUACCCGAGAGUC
rnacentral:rRNA from 1 species